CUACGUAGGGGUGCGACGUUGUCCGGAAUUAUUGGGCGUAAAGAGCUCGUAGGCGGUGUGUCGCGUCGGCCGUGAAAACCUGCAGCUUAACUGUGGGCGUGCGGCGAUACGGGCAGACUGGAGUACUGCAGGGGAGACUGGAAUUCCUGGUGAUAGCGGUGAAUGCGCAGAUAUCAGGAGGAACACCGGUGGCGAAGGCGGGUCUCUGGGCCGUAACUGACGCUGGAGGAGCGAAAGCAUGGGAGCGAACAGG
rnacentral:rRNA from 1 species